UCUCGAAACUUCAUUCUUUCAGCCCCCCACCCUCACUUCUCAAAUUUUCAUUUUCCCUCUUCCACUAAACAUUGGGUCAGACCAAACCCUACAACAUCUACCUUCAUCUUCUUCAAAAGAAAAGCUCAAAGGUUUUUUCGAUUUUCAUCUUCAACUCUUACAGUGCACAACAAUACCAGCGCAGGCACCAACGUCGGCGGCGACAGGGCUGGCCACCAUCCGAAGUUUCGUCGGCGUCGUCACCCGAUCUUCUUCCACGCAACGCACACCUUCCUCUUCUUCCUUCACGCACAACCGCAAUUACUCCUCCCUAGAUCGCUACCACAGUCCGCGUCAACCAUCUUGGUUUGUCGCCAGCUCUACUGCAAUUCUCUUUUCGAACCAUUGUUGGAGCUAUUCUCGAUCAUGGCGCACGAUUCCCUCUUUUCAUCUUCUCCUUUCCAAAUUGGUUUCAAACAAACCCCUCUCUCAAAUCUAACCCACCACCGUGUUUGUGAGUAGCUAGACCAACUGGUUGCAUGCUUGGGUUGAUGUUCUUGCCAAAAGCUCAAACUGUGAUCCGUCAUUGCCCCUAAAGCCGGUGGUUGGAGCAAGGGUUCUCACGUUCAAACCUUACACUAUCAUUGGCCUAUAUAGAAAAAGGCUUGGACACUACACAAUACCAGAAGAGAUGGAUGAGGUUUGUGCUUGGCUAACAUCAAAAUUGGGUCCUAAGGGGAAAACAACAUAGGUAGCCAACGAAGGAAACAAAAUGUACGAGAUGUUGAGAAUGAAAUGUCAUCUUUAAAUGAUGUAAUCAGAAAAUAUUAUAAUAUGCCUUAGACUUCAUUGCGGGCACUAGAUGUUGGAAAUGAUGUGCCAUCUUCACAUUAUAUAUAUGCUAGGAUCAAGUGGUGGAAGCAAAACACCUUAGGCUUAGGACUUUUAAUAUUGUCAUUUUUUUGGAUACUUGAAUAUUUUGAUACUCUUAAUGUUGUCUUUAUUUUUUGUAGAUGUUUGAAUUGGUACUUUGGUAUAGUUAUAUUAUAUUGACAAUGAAAGAAUUUAGUUUGUUAAUUUC